rnacentral:rRNA from 1 species
AACAUGUCCUUUUGUAAUGUAUAUAAGGUCUGACCUGCCCAAUGAGUAUAAUUUGAAUGGCCGCGGUAUUUUAACCGUGCUAAGGUAGCGUAAUCAUUUGUCUUUUAAUUAAAGGCUUGAAUGAAUGGUUGGACAAGAUAUUAGCUUUCUUUAGUUUAUUUGAUGAAUUUAACUUUUAAGUUAAAAGGCUUAAAUUUUUUUAGGGGACGAGAAGACCCUAUAGAUCUUUACAUGUGAAUUAUAUAAGAAGGGUUUAGAGAGGUGUUAUUUUUAUAUUAUUAUGUGUUUGGUUGGGGUGAUUGUGGAAUUUUAUUAACUUUUAUUUUUUAGUUUCAUUAAUUUAUGUAUUGUUGAUCCAUUUAUAAUGAUUACAAGAUUAAGUUACCUUAGGGAUAACAGCGUAAUUCUUUCGGAGAGUUCUUAUUGAUGAAGGAGUUUGCGACCUCGAUGUUGGAUUAAAAUUAGUAAUGGGUGUAGAAGUUCAUUAACUAGGUCUGUUCGACCUUUAAUUUUUUACAUGAUCUGA